rnacentral:lncRNA from 1 species
UCACACCCCUCUAGAUUUAAAGGACUAUUGCAAAGACCAUUUCACUACUGUUAGUGUUUGCAGUUCAGUCAUUGCUUCGAGGAAAAACCUGUUGAUACGUCAGGUUAUGCUAAAUAAGCAAGAGUUCUGUAUUGGCCUGAAGCUGUUUGCAAUCCACCAUUUGCAUGCCACUUUCAAGCAGGGACAUUAUUGCUACCUUUUAAAUCCAAAAAAGGGAACUGAUAUAUUUGCAAACACACAGAUACUCAGGAUGUGGCUGCUGUUUCCUAUCACAAACACGUGAUCUGAGUUGGUUGUUGUUUUUCCACACUGCAAAAGAAAGAAAUCCAGCAAGCUUAGGUGAAAUUGUUGGGUCACUGAAAGGUACAAUGAUCUUCCUGACAAGCUGGAUUCCUGUCCUAACUACGUUUCUGCUUCUCUUAUAUUUCUGGAGAGCAAAGGUCUCUGCCUCUGGAACAUCUGAGGAGGAGGCAAUAGACCCCAAGUAUGUUAUCAUAGGAGUUACCCUGGGAGUCUUCCUAGCAAUUGGUUUUUUAGCACUAAAGAUCUGCAUGAUCAAAAGGCAAUUGACUGACAAUGACUUUGUAGGUUACUGCUGGACAAGGCAACUAUAGUUGUAACAUGCGAAUGGAUCAAAGGAACAGAGAAGGUCUCCCUGUAUUAUGAGAAACAUGUGUUUUGACAUGACAGUUGCAGCUGGUAAGCAGAAUGCUAAGAUUCCCAACCUUCACUCAAAUUACUCCUUCUCAGUUAUUAUAUUUCUCUACCCUAAGGCCCUACCACAUAAUUACUGUAUAUUUUAGUGCAUGCCCCAUGUACUACUAUUUUUAAAAAGAUAGUCUCCCUUUUUUCUCUCUAUCAACUUUCAUUCUUUACAGUAGUGUACUCCUCUUAGAAAAUUACUUGCAUAUGCUGCAGCUUCUAUUAUGCUUAUUUACUAAUGGUCAUGCUACAGUAAACCUAGUUUUUCCUUUCUGGUCAAAUUGCGGAUUGCCAAUUUACUGGCAGCCAGACAGGAGUCUGCCUGAAAAUCAACCUAUUGGAGCGGAAACGUGGUCACUACAAGGUUUGAUAAAACUGCUGACGUAAAAAAUAGAUUUUUUUGUUUUAUAAACAGAUAUUUCAUAGAAUCAUCAAAAACAGAUAUAAAAUAACUCAAUAGACAUUUUUCCCCUGACUAGUAU